rnacentral:rRNA from 1 species
AGAAUCAACGCUGGCGGCGUGCCUCAGACAUGCAAGUCGAACGAUUAAACUUUCCUUCGGGAAAGAUAUAAAGUGGCGCACGGGUGAGUAACACGUAAGUAAUCUACCUUCGAGUGGGGAAUAACGUCCGGAAACGGACGCUAAUACCGCAUAAUGCAGCGGCAUCGCAAGAUGACAGUUGUUAAAGGAUUUAUUCGCUUGAAGAGGAGCUUGCGGCAGAUUAGCUUGUUGGUAAGGUAACGGCUUACCAAGGCUACGAUCUGUAACCGGUCUAAGAGGACGGUCGGUCACACUGACACUGAAUAACGGGUCAGACUCCUACGGGAGGCAGCAGUCGGGAAUUUGGGCAAUGGCGAAAGCUGACCAGCAACGCCGCGUGAAGGA